rnacentral:lncRNA from 1 species
ACAUAGCAGAAUAUAUCGAGACCCAUGUCAAGAACUACAGAACUGCCGCUUUUGACAGCUGCUUCCCCAACCAGAGCCAGUUCAGGAACUGCUGGCAGAACUACCCAGAUUUCUACCACUGUGGAAAGGUAAUGAUGUCUGAAGAGAGUGAUGUCUCUGGGUGCAAAUGGUAGUGGGAAUGUGUACAAAUCCCCCAGCAUCAUAUUCUGGGUCUUAACCUGGGGUGACCACGGGGCAGAAGCCACAAUUCCUGGA